UCGGGGGGUGAUGAUAGUAGCCAACAUUAUUUCGAUCAAGAUGUUUCACGUAAAGAACUUGCUCACGCCAUUAUAUUGCAUGAAUAUCCCCUGUCUAUAGUUGAUCAUGUAGGAUUUAGAAAGUUUGUUGCUAGUCUUUAGCCGUUGUUCAAAAUGGUGUCAAGGAACACAAUCAAAAAUGAUAUUUUGAGGAUUUUUGACAAUUUGAAAUCAAAAACUUCUAACUUAUUGGAAAAACUCACAAGUAGAAUUGCAAUUACUACUGAUAUGUGGACUUCGGACAAUAACAAAAAAGGAUUCGUGGAUAUUACAGCGCAUUUUAUUGAUGAUUCAUGGAGGCUUCAAAGUCAUAUUCUUAGAUUUGUUUAUGUACCUGCCCCACAUGAUAAGGAUACUUUGUGUAGUGCGUUGAUUAAUUGUUUGUUAGAGUGGAAUCUUGAAAGAAGAUUAUCAACCAUUACAGUUGAUAAUUGUAGCACAAACAAUGCAAUGAUGAAGACUUUGUUAGAUGAGAAACUUUGUAAAAGGGAUUUAUUGUUGAUGGGUCGAUUGUUUCAUGUGCGUUGUGCCGCACACAUCUUGAAUUUGAUUGUGCAAGAAGGGCUAAAGGUGAUAGGAGAUAGUGUUAGUAAUGUGCGCAACAGUGUCUUAUACUGGAUAGGGUCAUCAAGUAGAAUUGAAAGGUUUGAAGAAGCUGCACGGUUGUUACAUAUUUCUUGUAACAAAAAGUUGGAGUAUGAUUGUCCAACUCGUUGGAACUCAACAUAUCUAAUGUUGAAAAUGGACCUAGACUAUAAAGAUGUGUUUAUGAAGUUGAGUCUAACUGACACUAGUUAUCGUUGUUAUCCAACUGAAGGGCAAUGGAGUGCAGCAGAAGAAGUUUGUUGUAAGUUGAAGCUUUUUUAUCAUAUUACUGAACAAUUCUCAGGAAGUCAAUAUCCAACUUCAAGUCAGUACUUUUCAAAAGUUUGUGAAAUUAAGCUAGAAUUGGAAGUUUGGGUUAAAAGUUAUAAUCUUUUAAUUAGCUCUAUGGCAUCGGCAAUGUUGUUGAAAUAUAAGAAAUAUUGGGAUGACGUGCAUAUUUUUAUGGGUGUGGCUGCUAUCUUUGAUCCGAGGUAUAAGAUGAAGUUGGUGGAGUUUUAUCUUCCACAUAUUUAUGGUGAAACAAUUGCUUUAGAUAAGAUUCAAGAAGUUCGAACCCACUGUUUCGAUCUCUUUCAAGAGUAUAAGAGUAGAGUACCUGCUACACAUGGAGCAUCUAGUUCUAAUGAAGUUGUUGGUUUUAUUGAGGUUGAUCGUCUAUCUAGCUUUGAUAGAUUUGUCGCUUCGAGUAGGGUUAAUGUGGUCACAAGAUCGGAGCUAGAUUUGUAUUUAGAAGAAAGUUUGCUACCUCAAACUCCAUCGUUCGACAGUUUAAGUUGGUGGAAGACAAAUGGAUUAAAGUUUCCUACUUUGCAGAAUAUGGCUCGUGACAUCUUAGCUAUUCCUGUCUCUACAGUUGCUUCAGAAUCAGCAUUUAGCACUAGUGGGAGGUUGAUUAGUCCGCAUCGUAGUAGACUUCAUCCUACUACUUUGGAGGCUUUGAUGUGUGCUCGCACUUGGUUAUGGAACGAAGUAAAUGAGUACUCAAGACGCUCUUCAACGGGGUAUAAUUAGUUUGGUGAAAGGAGCACGUUCGCGGCAAGUCGGAAAUUCAAGAAAAGAUUCUGGACGAAUCGGGAUUUGAGUUUGGGGUGAGCAUAAGACGUUUAUAAGGUGCAGACACCGGUGAUCCACCACUGUAGGCUUCACUUCUGCUAUUUCGGAGUACUCCCUUGAUUCGGAGUCCACUUUUGGUAUAUAUAUCUUUCGCCAUGUAUAUAUUUCUGCAUAUCUGACUAUUUGGGUACGGCGGGGCCCUGUCCCGUCAUAUGAUUCUGUCGGUUAGUUUAGAGGUCUGUGGACAUGUUUGUGGGUUAUGGUCUGUCUGUAUGCUUAUGUGUAUAUGCUGUUUGGGCGAUUCCAUACGCCGAGGCGGCCGGUCCGCAUAUGUUUGUGCAUUGCUUUGAUUAGCCCUGUGUGGCCUCUGUUGGUGUUUGCUGUGUACAGGGUUAUUCUGGUUAGU